UCGGAUUACUGGGCGUAAAGCGCGCGUAGGUGGUUCGUUAAGUUGGAUGUGAAAGCCCCGGGCUCAACCUGGGAACUGCAUCCAAAACUGGCGAGCUAGAGUAUGGUAGAGGGUGGUGGAAUUUCCUGUGUAGCGGUGAAAUGCGUAGAUAUAGGAAGGAACACCAGUGGCGAAGGCGACCACCUGGACUGAUACUGACACUGAGGUGCGAAAGCGUGGGGAGCAAACAGGAUUAGAUACCUUGGUAGUCCACGCCGUAAACGAUGUCAACUAGCCGUUGGAAUCCUUGAGAUUUUAGUGGCGCAGCUAACGCAUUAAGUUGACCGCCUGGGGAGUACGGCCGCAAGGUUAAAACUCAAAUGAAUUGACGGGGGCCCGCACAAGCGGUGGAGCAUGUGGUUUAAUU
rnacentral:rRNA from 1 species